UACGUAGGGGGCAAGCGUUAUCCGGAUUUAUUGGGUUUAAAGGGUGCGUAGGCGGACGCUUAAGUCAGCGGUAAAAUUGCGGGGCUCAACCUCGUCGAGCCGUUGAAACUGGGUGCCUUGAGAGGGCGAGAAGUACGCGGAAUGCGUGGUGUAGCGGUGAAAUGCAUAGAUAUCACGCAGAACUCCGAUUGCGAAGGCAGCGUACCGGCGCCCAACUGACGCUGAAGCACGAAGGCGUGGGUAUCGAACAGG
rnacentral:rRNA from 1 species